CGCUGGCGGUAUGCUUUACACAUGCAAGUCGUACGAGAGUUUUUAACUCAAGUGGCGGACGGGUGAGUAACACGUAAGAAUUUGCCUUUAGGAGGGGGACAACAACUGGAAACGGUUGCUAAUACCCCAUGUGCUUUCGAGUGAAAUGGAUUUAUCCGCCUAGAGAGAAGCUUGCGGCCGAUUAGCUUGUUGGUGAGGUAAUGGCUUACCAAGGCGACGAUCAGUAUCUGGUUUGAGAGGACGAUCAGACACACUGGAACUGAGACACGGUCCAGACUCCUACGGGAGGCAGCAGUGGGGAAUUUUCCGCAAUGGGCGAAAGCCUGACGGAGCAAUACCGCGUGAGGGAUGACGGCCUAUGGGUUGUAAACCUCUUUUUUCAGGGAGGAAUCAAUGACGCGUACCUGAAGAAUAAGCAUCGGCUAACUCCGUGCCAGCAGCCGCGGUAAGACGGAGGAUGCAAGUGUUAUCCGGAAUCACUGGGCGUAAAGCGUCUGUAGGUGGUCAAAUAAGUCAACUGUUAAAUCUUGAGGCUCAACCUCAAAAUCGCAGUCGAAACUAUUAGACUAGAGUAUAGUAGGGGUAAAGGGAAUUUCCAGUGGAGCGGUGAAAUGCGUAGAGAUUGGAAAGAACACCGAUGGCGAAGGCACUUUACUGGGCUAUUACUAACACUGAGAGACGAAAGCUAGGGUAGCAAAUGGGAUUAGAUACCCCAGUAGUCCUAGCCGUAAACAAUGGAUACUAGAUGUUGAACAGAUCGACCUGUGCAGUAUCAAAGCUAACGCGUUAAGUAUCCCGCCUGG
rnacentral:rRNA from 1 species